rnacentral:rRNA from 1 species
UACGUAGGGUGCGAGCGUUAAUCGGAAUUACUGGGCGUAAAGUGUGCGCAGGUGGCCGCGCAAGUCGAGUGUGAAAUCCCCGGGCUUAACUUGGGAAUUGCGCUCGAAACUACGUGGCUCGAGUGUGGCAGAGGAAGGUGGAAUUCCACGUGUAGCAGUGAAAUGCGUAGAGAUGUGGAGGAACACCGAUGGCGAAGGCAGCCCCCUGGGCUAACACUGACGCUCAGGCACGAAAGCGUGGGGAGCAAACAGG